rnacentral:rRNA from 1 species
UACGGAAGGGGCAAGCGUUGUUCGGAAUCAUUGGGCGUAAAGGGCGCGUAGGUGGUUCUGUAUGUCUACCGUGAAAGCGUACGGCUCAACCGUAUUUUGUCGGUAGAAACUGCAGGACUUGAGGCUGGGAGGGGCUGGUGGAAUUCCCUGUGUAGCGGUGAAAUGCGCAGAUAUCAGGAGGAACACCGAUGGCGAAGGCAGGUCUCUGGGCCAUAACUGACGCUGAGAAGCGAAAGCAUGGGGAGCGAACAGG